rnacentral:rRNA from 1 species
CCCUACGGGGCGCAGCAGUGGGGAAUAUUGCACAAUGGGGGAAACCCUGAUGCAGCGACGCCGCGUGAGUGAGGAAGUAUUUCGGUAUGUAAACUUCUAUCAGCAGGGAAGAAAAUGACGGUACCUGACUAAGAAGCCCCGGCUAACUACGUGCCAGCAGCCGCGGUAAUACGUAGGGGGCAAGCGUUAUCCGGAUUUACUGGGUGUAAAGGGAGCGUAGGCGGCGAUGCAAGUCAGAAGUGAAAGCCCGGGGCCCAACUCCGGGACUGCUUUUGAAACUGGAUGGCUAGAUUGCAGGAGAGGCA